rnacentral:lncRNA from 1 species
AAAAGCACAGGCUAGAGUUUUGAUCGCCUCUGCUCAAAUAUCAAUUCUGCAGAAGAUCUACCCUGGCUGAAACAGACCCCGAAUAAAUCAACCCAAACAUUUUGAAAUCCUUCUUGAGAAUAUCAAGUAGGUACUAAUACAAGGGGCCUCAUUUUUCUUCGCACUUUAUAUUCUUUCCCUCAUGAGAGAGACCGUGAAGCAAAGUGCACACUUGAUAGGCCGAGGCUGCAAAAGCCAAAGAGCCCCAACUUGUCGACCCAGCCACAACGAACGGUGAAGAAGAGUUGAAGCCCGAGUCAUCAGCAGUGGUGCCGGAAAAGCCCGAGGACAAGGAGGAUGCACCAACAAAUGAAGUAGCAAAAGAGAGCAAAGAAGAGGAGAAGAGAUCUCAAGUUGUGGAUCACCCUUUGGCUGCCGCCUCUGAGGGUUCAAAGACUAGCUGAGCUUCAUCAAGGAACAAGAGAUACGUGAUAAUCCGCCAUUCAAUUGGAGCAAACAAGGAUGAACUCUUGUAUUCUAUACUUCUUCUUUUUAAUGGAUCAAAUGGAGUUUUUUCCUUCUCCUUCAUUGUGCAAAUUCUGAUAUAUAGGUGACGAGUUUCCGACACUUUGCAGGGCAAAACUACAUGAUAAACACUAGAUUAAAU